CAAAUCCCAAAAAUAAACGUCCCAGUUCGGACUGUAGUCUGCAACCCGACUACACGAAGCUGGAAUCGCUAGUAAUCGCGGAUCAGAAUGCCGCGGUGAAUACGUUCCCGGGUCUUGUACACACCGCCCGUCACACCAUGGGAGUCAGUAACGCCCGAAGUCAGUGACCUAACCGAAAGGGAGGAGCUGCCGAAGGCGGGACGGAUGACUGGGGUGAAGUCGUAACAAGGUAGC
rnacentral:rRNA from 1 species